rnacentral:rRNA from 1 species
GGGAGUACGGCCGCAAGGUUAAAACUCAAAUGAAUUGACGGGGGCCCGCACAAGCGGUGGAGCAUGUGGUUUAAUUCGAUGCAACGCGAAGAACCUUACCUGGUCUUGACAUCCACAGAACUUUCCAGAGAUGGAUUGGUGCCUUCGGGAACUGUGAGACAGGUGCUGCAUGGCUGUCGUCAGCUCGUGUUGUGAAAUGUUGGGUUAAGUCCCGCAACGAGCGCAACCCUUAUCCUUUGUUGCCAGCGGUUAGGCCGGGAACUCAAAGGAGACUGCCAGUGAUAAACUGGAGGAAGGUGGGGAUGACGUCAAGUCAUCAUGGCCCUUACGACCAGGGCUACACACGUGCUACAAUGGCGCAUACAAAGAGAAGCGACCUCGCGAGAGCAAGCGGACCUCAUAAAGUGCGUCGUAGUCCGGAUUGGAGUCUGCAACUCGACUCCAUGAAGUCGGAAUCGCUAGUAAUCGUAGAUCAGAAUGCUACGGUGAAUACGUUCCCGGGCCUUGUACACACCGCCCGUCACACCAUGGGAGUGGGUUGCAAAAGAAGUAGGUAGCUUAACCUUCGGGAGGGCGCUUACCACUUUGUGAUUCAUGACUGGGGUGAAGUCGUAACAAGGUAACCGUAGGGGAACCUGCGGUUGGAUCACCUCCUUACCUUAAAGAA